AAAAACAUGUCUUUUUGUUUAUGAUUUAAAGUCUGGCCUGCCCAAUGAUUAUUUUUAAAUGGCUGCAGUAUUUUGACUGUACAAAGGUAGCAUAAUCAUUAGUUUCUUAAUUAGAAGCUGGAAUGAAUGGUUUGAUGAAAAAUUUACUGUCUCAAUUUAAUUGUUUUAGAACUUUAUUUUUAAGUGAAAAAGCUUAAAUUUUUUAGAAAGACGAGAAGACCCUAUAGAGUUUAAUAUUUUUUUUUGUUAUUAAUUUGAUGAUUAAAGUGUUUUUAACUUAAAAUAAUAUUUUGUUGGGGUGAUACGAAAAUUUAAGAAACUUUUCUAUAUUUUAACACUAGUUAGUGAUUAAAUGAUCCUUUAUUGGAUUAAAAGAUUAAAUUACCUUAGGGAUAACAGCGUAAUUUUUUUUGAAAGUUCUUAUUGAUAAAAAAGUUUGCGACCUCGAUGUUGGAUUAAAAUUUAUUUUCGGUGUAGAAGCUGGGAAAUUUAGGUCUGUUCGACC
rnacentral:rRNA from 1 species